AGCGCAGGCGGUUUUUUAAGUCUGAUGUGAAAGCCUUCGGCUUAACCGGAGAAGUGCAUCGGAAACUGGGAGACUUGAGUGCAGAAGAGGACAGUGGAACUCCAUGUGUAGCGGUGAAAUGCGUAGAUAUAUGGAAGAACACCAGUGGCGAAGGCGGCUGUCUGGUCUGUAACUGACGCUGAGGCUGAAAGCAUGGGUAGCGAACA
rnacentral:rRNA from 1 species